rnacentral:lncRNA from 1 species
UUGGAAAAUGGAAGAUAGUUGAUGACAUUAUACAGUUUCCUUUGCUGAAAAGAUCAAGGAUACUCAUGUAAAGAAAAAUUAACUUCCUCCCUCCUCAGGGACUAUGCUCACAGUUUAAAUAGCUGUUGAGUAGUAGUAGUCUACUUCUGGAGGCUGGUGCCAGCCACUUGGCUUGCCAAGGGUAUGGAUAACUGAGAGAAGCAGGAAGGUGAGGCUCAAUAACUGCUUUAUGAAUAUGACCCAAUCUCCACCCUCAAGCCUCAUCCUACAGUCAUAUAACCCUUCAGUCUGACACUUGCAUAUGAGCUGAGCAACUUUAAAGCAAAACAACAUUUGGCAUGUGUAUGGAGCAUGACAUGAAAAUGAUGAUCAGCAAAGGGAAUACUUGACAUUGUUUAAUUCUGGUUCU